rnacentral:rRNA from 1 species
UGAGAACCCGAAAGGUCGAAGGAAGAAAUUCAUUCGUGUAUCACUAUUGACUGAAUUGAUUAUUUUAGACGAUAAAUAAAUCAUGUCAUCAAUUUUUGGUGAUUUUUGAUUUAUACGUUGCUAAAUAGUUAUUUAUUGUCUGAUAGUGAACGCGUGCAUUUUUCUUCUGGUAGGACGUUGCGAUCCGUUAGAAAUUUUUAUCAAUCUAUGAUUUAUAUAUUAAAGUUCAUUGAUACAUAUAUAUUUUUGUAUAUAUGUUAUUAUUAAUGAAGAUAUAAUAUCUGAUUGAUUUAUCUGACGGUAGAUUAAUGGUUAAAAGUCGCUAAAUUUAUUUAGCGUUAGAGGCAAGACAAAUAUAUAAAUUGUGUCAAGAUAUAAUUAUUAUUUUUUUUUAAAAAUGUAAUUGUAUUCUCGGUAAUCGAUAUUUAUAUCAAUUCCGAGCCUUUUAUGUAUUGUUAGUCGAGCAUAUCUCUAACAGACUAUAUUAUUUUUUAAAUAAAACCAAUCUGCAACGCUAUAGCUUUGGGUAAUUUCAGGACCCGUCUUGAAACACGGACCAAGGAGUCUAGCAUGUUCGCAAGCCAUUGGGAUUAGAAAAACCUAUAGGCAUAAUGAAAGUAAAAAUUAAUUUAUCUUGUAUAAAUUAUAGGGAAGAUGAAUAAUGUGUAUUUUAUAAUAAAUUAUUUCGCAUUCCCGGGGCGUUUAAAUUUUAUUUGUUUGUUUACAUUCAAAUGAGAUUAUGCGCACCAAGAGUGUACACGCUGGGACCCGAAAGAUGGUGAACUAUGCCUGGUCAGGACGAAGUCAGGGGAAACCCUGAUGGAGGUCCGUAGCGAUUCUGACGUGCAAAUCGAUCGUCGGAACUGGGUAUAGGGGCGAAAGACUAAUCGAACCAUC